UCUUUCUUCAUUCUCAAAUUCCCAGUCUCAGAUUCUACUCAUAACACACACUAGCCUUUUCCUCACUCUUUCCCUCUCUCAACCAAACCGUACGCCAUAUUUUAUUCCUUUCUUCAAUUCGAUCAUCUCUCAUCAGAAGCAUGGCAGAAUCGAUGGAGCUUCCAAAUCGGCUAGCAAUCCUUCCAUUCAGGAACAAGGUCCUUUUUCCUGAUGCCAUCAUUCGAAUUCGUUGCACUUCCCCAAGCAGCUUUGAAGGUGUAGACCAAAAGCCUAAUGUGAAUGCUGGAAAGAGGAAAGAGGUUUACAAGCCAGAGGAUUUUGCUUUGGGUGAUAUAGUUUGGGCAAAAUGUGGGAAGAGAUAUCCUGCUUGGCUUGCUGUGGUGAUUGAUCCCAUCUUGGAGGCUUCCAAAUCCAUGCUGAGCUGUUGUGUUCCUAGUGAACUGCGUGAUGUUUUUUGGUUUUUCCAAAAAUGGAACGCAAAGGGUCAAUUGUGUUGUAAUGCGCGGAUUCAAUGAUGAUGAAAUAUGUGACUCUGUUGAGUUGACACGGGAAAAGCCAAUUAAUAUUCGGUUUAUAGAGUUCACGCCUUUUGAUGGUAAUAUUUGGAACGUCAAGAAACUUGUACCUUACUCAGAGAUGUUGGAUAAAGUGGUAAGGUAGAAUUCGGAAUGGAGACCUUUCUUAUAUAGAUAGAUUUUAUGUUCUCUUAUAGUAGAAACCCUUUAUAACCAUCAUUACCAAACCGGUGAAAUAGUUUUCAAGCUUAAAAAGACUUACGGAUCACCCAACAGAUACAGCUGAGAAUUUUACAAUAGAUGGGCAUGAAGGUAGAGUUUCAUUUAUCACAUCAAUGACUGAGCAUUUUGUGUUGGUUGUAAUAGAUUGCAACUACUAGCUGAUGGAAACUUAAAAGUCUAUUUAUUUGGUCCUUCCAAGGUAAGUUAUAUUUUCACCAUCAAAAUCCAGGAUAUUAUGCAUGUCACGCAAAUUUGAUGAUGAUAAUUUGGCUAGAACCUGUGAUGUUAUAUAUAUUUGGAAUACUUAAUGUUUUUGGUGAAUAUGGAAGGUUAAAGUUGAUGAUCAUAAUGGCAAUUGGCAGGCUUUCUAAAUCCAAAUGGAUAAAGAUGAUGAAGAUGAGGAUGAUAUUGAUGACUUAGACAAUGAGUUUGGUUAUGGACAUCUUGAUGCUUUUGGCCUUUAGCCAACUUCAGAUUCAAUGCUUUCUGGACGUGGUUAUAAUUCUAAUAUAUCUGGUACAAAUUUGGAUCAUGACAUAUCUCCUCUCAAUUCUGAAAUCCCACUCUUGACUUACAGGGAGGAGGAUCCUGAGAUAUCAUCUGAUCGACAUGCUCUAAUUGUUCCCCCAUACAUGAAUAAUGUAAACAGAGCUCAUCCCACACCAUAUACUGAUCCUUCUAUUACAUUGCAACCCAGGCCUAUGGUUCCAGAGAAAGAUAUUGCACUGUACGGGUAUGGAAGUGUGGCUUGGAAAGACCGGAUGGAAGACUGGAAGAGAAAGCAUAAUGACAAACUUGAGGUGGUGAAGCAUGAAGGGAAUAACAAUGGUGGAAAUUUUGGUGAUGAGUUGGAGGACCCUGAUUUGCCCAUGAUGGAUGAAGGCAGCAGCCACUUUCACGGAAGCUGCCUAUCCCAUCAAGCAAGAUAAAUCCAUACAAAAUGAUUAUAAUACUUCGCCUUGUAGUUCUUGGGCUUUUCUUUCAUUAUAGAAUUCUCCACCCAGUUAACGAUGCAUAUUGGUUGUGGUUGAUAUCGGUCAUCUGUGAAAUAUGGUUUGUUGUAUCAUGGAUAAUGGAUCAGUUUUCGAAAUGGUACCCAAUAGUGCAAGAAACAUACCUUGAUCGUCUAUCACUGAGGUGAAGAGAAAGAAAGCUUCACAUGCUGGUAAGUUUGACAUAGCAAAGACAGCAAAUAGGCCUAUGAUACAUAUUGGUGGAUAAGGGGCAGAUCUGGUUGUACAAGAGCAAACCAAGUGACUUUCGCAUGGUACUAGAGGAGGCAAUGUGGCAAAAGUGGAAUCGCAGUUGGAAGCAGAGGGAGUAACCAAUGUAAAAUCUCAUCCCGAUGGACUUAUAGAGGUCACAGGUUCAUGUGUUGAUCAAAAAUAUUACUGCAAUUAGUAUUGUUGCUGAGCAAAAGGCAAGAAGUGCUAGAUUUGUUAUCAUGAAUAAUCCUUAUGUAUUAACUGGAUACAAGCACGGUUGGAUUGAUUUUGUUAAUAUAAUUAUUUUCAGUCUUCACUUGGCUACAAAUUGGUUGUACAAUGAUAAGUCUUGUUGAUUGUUAUAGUGAUGUAAAAGGUUUGUCUGGCUGAUUGGAUUCCAAAAUAUAGUCAAUAUUCAUAUAAAUAAUAAAUUGUUAUUUGUUAUAAUGUUACUAUUUGUGAGCUUUUUAUUUACUCACUUCUUCCCUUAGGUCAUAUGCUUUUGGAGGGGUUUUAAUAUACAAACAAUGUUUG